rnacentral:rRNA from 1 species
UGGGGAAUAUUGGACAAUGGGCGAAAGCCUGAUCCAGCAAUGCCGCGUGAGUGAUGAAGGCCUUAGGGUUGUAAAGCUCUUUUACCCGGGAUGAUAAUGACAGUACCGGGAGAAUAAGCUCCGGCUAACUCCGUGCCAGCAGCCGCGGUAAUACGGAGGGAGCUAGCGUUGUUCGGAAUUACUGGGCGUAAAGCGCACGUAGGCGGCUAUUCAAGUCGGGGGUGAAAGCCCGGGGCUCAACCCCGGAACUGCCUUCGAAACUAGAUAGCUAGAAUCUUGGAGAGGUCAGUGGAAUUCCGAGUGUAGAGGUGAAAUUCGUAGAUAUUCGGAAGAACACCAGUGGCGAAGGCGACUGACUGGACAAGUAUUGACGCUGAGGUGCGAAAGCGUGGGGAGCAAACA